rnacentral:rRNA from 1 species
UACUCAAGCUAUGCAUCCCAACGCGUUGGGAGCUUUCCCAUAUGGUCGACCUGCAGGCGGCCCGCGAAUUCACUAGUGAUUAGAGUUUGAUCAUGGCUCAGGAUGAACGCUAGCGGCAGGCCUAACACAUGCAAGUCGAGGGGUAACAGAGAGAAGCUUGCUUUUCUGCUGACGACCGGCGCACGGGUGCGUAACGCGUAUACAAUCUGCCUUAUACAGAGGGAUAGCCUUUAGAAAUGAAGAUUAAUACCUUAUAGUCUAUUUUUAUAGCAUUAUAUAAAUAGUAAAGCUUCGGUGGUAUAAGAUGAGUAUGCGUCCUAUUAGUUAGUUGGUAAGGUAACGGCUUACCAAGACAACGAUAGGUAGGGGCCCUGAGAGGGGGAUCCCCCACACUGGUACUGAGACACGGACCAGACUCCUACGGGAGGCAGCAGUGAGGAAUAUUGGACAAUGGAGGCAACUCUGAUCCAGCCAUGCCGCGUGCAGGAAGACGGCCCUAUGGGUUGUAAACUGCUUUUAUAUAGGAAGAAACCUUUUCACGUGUGAGAAGCUGACGGUACUAUAAGAAUAAGGACCGGCUAACUCCGUGCCAGCAGCCGCGGUAAUACGGAGGGUCCGAGCGUUAUCCGGAAUCAUUGGGUUUAAAGGGUCCGUAGGCGGGAAUCUAAGUCAGUGGUGAAAUCUUGCAGCUCAACUGUAAAAUUGCCAUUGAUACUGGAUUUCUUGAAUUAGUGUGAAGUGGUUAGAAUGUGUAGUGUAGCGGUGAAAUGCAUAGAUAUUACACAGAAUACCAAUUGCGAAGGCAGAUCACUAACACUAUAUUGACGCUGAGGGACGAAAGCGUGGGGAGCGAACAGGAUUAGAUACCCUGGUAGUCCACGCCGUAAACGAGGGAUACUAGCUGUUCGAUCUUCGGAUUGAGUGGCUAAGCGAAAGUGAUA